AGCAGCAGGUGGUGUCGUGAGUUGAACUCUCUGGACAUUUAACCAGAAGAAGGUCUCCUCCACAGCUUCGACCUCAAGCUGGAGUUUUUGGAGACACUUUCCUCACAUUUUGAAGAGCAGAGAUGUUCUCUUCUUCCUUCUGGACUUCAGGUUUUGGUGUUCAGUUCCAUCACUGUAAGUUUUGGAAGUACAUCUGUAUUUACAAGGUUCUCUAUACAGCAAAUGUUAA